UACAGAGGUCCCAAGCGUUGUUCGGAUUCAUUGGGCGUAAAGGGUGCGUAGGCGGCGCGGUAAGUCGGGUGUGAAAUCUUGGAGCUUAACUCCGAAACUGCAUUCGAUACUGCCGUGCUUGAGGACUGGAGAGGAGACUGGAAUUUACGGUGUAGCGGUGAAAUGCGUAGAUAUCGUAAGGAAGACCAGUGGCGAAAGGCGGGUCUCUGGACAGUUCCUGACGCUGAGGCACGAAGGCCAGGGGAGCAAACGGG
rnacentral:rRNA from 1 species